rnacentral:misc_RNA from 1 species
CGCACCUUGCACCUCGUGGCUUACCACGGGGUACGCCCGUUCGAGCGUCACGUUCACCUCGACCGCCUGGAGGUUUACCUUCUGCGGUCGGAACUGGACUUUGCCGUAGCGGCUCGUCCGAAAUGCAUUAGCGAGGGUGGUCUCCACCGCUCGGCGUGAUAAUCCUUUGCGCCUGGCGGUAAGACGGCCCUGCUCCGAAUCCCGUCGCGUCGACGGAACUUACCAAGUUUGACCUCGGAUCGGGCGGGACUACCCGCUGAACUUAA